rfam:Sus scrofa isolate TJ Tabasco breed Duroc chromosome 4, whole genome shotgun sequence.
CCAAAGGCUCUUUUCAGAGCCACAUAACUUAUCAGAGAAAGUGGCU